UACAGAGGGGGCAAGCGUUGUUCGGAAUUACUGGCGUAAAGCGCACGCAGGCGGAUUGAUAAGUCAGGGGUGAAAUCCCGGGGCUCAACCUCGGAAUUGCCUUUGAUACUGUCUGUCUUCGAGUUCGGGAGAGGUUGGCGGAAUUCCUAGUGUAGAGGUGAAAUUCGUAGAUAUUAGGAAGAACACCAGUGGCGAAGGCGGCCAACUGGCCCGAUACUGACGCUCAUGUGCGAAAGCGUGGGGAGCAAACAGG
rnacentral:rRNA from 1 species